rnacentral:piRNA from 1 species
UAGCUGAACAAACAAGUUUGCAAGUGUGGU